rnacentral:rRNA from 1 species
UACAGAGGGUGCGAGCGUUAAUCGGAAUUACUGGGCGUAAAGCGCACGUAGGCGGCUUGGUAUGUCGGGUGUGAAAUCCCCGGGCUCAACCUGGGAAUGGCAUUGGAAACUGGCGGGCUUGAGUGUGGCAGAGGGGGGUGGAAUUCCGCGUGUAGCAGUGAAAUGCGUAGAGAUGCGGAGGAACACCGAUGGCGAAGGCAGCCCUCUGGGCUAACACUGACGCUCAGGCACGAAAGCGUGGGGAGCAAACAGG